rnacentral:rRNA from 1 species
CCUCAAAUCAGGUAGGACUACCCGCUGAACUUAAGCAUAUCAAUAAGCGGAGGAAAAGAAACUAACGAGGAUUCCCCUAGUAACUGCGAGUGAAGCGGGAAGAGCUCAAAUUUAAAAUCUGGCAGUUUUGCUGUCCGAGUUGUAAUCUAGAGAAGUGUUUUCCGCGCUGGACCGUGUACAAGUCUCUUGGAAUGGAGCGUCGUAGAGGGUGACAAUCCCGUCUUUGACACGGACUGCCGGUGCUUUGGUGAUGCGCUCUCAAAGAGUCGAGUUGUUUGGGAAUGCAGCUCAAAAUGGGUGGUAAACUCCAUCUAAAGCUAAAUACAGGCGAGAGACCGAUAGCGAACAAGUACCGUGAGGGAAAGAUGAAAAGAACUUUGAAAAGAGAGUUAAACAGUACGUGAAAUUGUUGAAAGGGAAACGAUUCAAGUCAGCCGCGUUGGUCGGAAAUCAACCUCACACUCUUGUGAGGCUCACUUUCUGGUUGACGGGUCAGCAUCAAUUUUGACCGUCGGAUAAAGUCCUGGGGAAUGUGGCAUCUUUGGAUGUGUUAUAGCCCCUUGUCGCAUGCGAUGGUUGGGAUUGAGGAACGCAGCACGCCGUCAAGGUCGGGGCCUUCGGGCUCACGUACACGUGCUUUGGAUGCUGGCAUAAU